GAUGAACGCUGGCGGCGCGCUUAACACAUGCAAGUCGAACGAUGAAGCCCAGCUUGCUGGGUGGAUUAGUGGCGAACGGGUGAGUAACACGUGAGUAACCUGCCCUUAACUCUGGGAUAAGCCUGGGAAACUGGGUCUAAUACCGGAUAGGAGCGUCCACCGCAUGGUGGGUGUUGGAAAAAUUUAUCGGUUUUGGAUGGACUCGCGGCCUAUCAGCUUGUUGGUGAGGUAAUGGCUCACCAAGGCGACGACGGGUAGCCGGCCUGAGAGGGUGACCGGCCACACUGGGACUGAGACACGGCCCAAACUCCUACGGGAGGCAGCAGUGGGGAAUAUUGCACAAUGGGCGCAAGCCUGAUGCAGCGACGCCGCGUGAGGGAUGACGGCCUUCGGGUUGUAAACCUCUUUCAGUAGGGAAGAAGCGAAAGUGACGGUACCUGCAGAAGAAGCACCGGCUAACUACGUG
rnacentral:rRNA from 1 species